CCCACCGUUGAAACGGUGGGCUAUGAUGGGUCAGUCCCUUCGGGACG
rnacentral:sRNA from 1 species